GGGGAACAAUUCAGGAUAUCUUUUCAUCAUAUCAUCUUCCCUUUCUGACGUGGCAUAAACGCCACCAUGGUUUUGCCAAUCCACUUUCACUAAUGGAAUUUCUUUAUUUCUCAACUUCUUGAUUCGUCGGUUUACAAUUUGAAUAGGCCAUUCUUCAAAAGAUUUUAUUUUGAUUUUACUAAAUGCUUAGAAAUCUAUAGUAUCAACAGAUUAAUGGUUUGUAAUUUGGUGAUAGUUAGGAGUGUUGCAGGCUGCUUUUUAAUGUUUUAGACGCAUGCUGAUGUUUCAUGUACUCUUCCCCCUCUUCCUUCUUUCUUUUGAAGUUUUGGUGAUAGUUUAAUGAACUUUCAUAAUGCCAUGGACUUGUAAUUGUUAACCGAUUGUAAUUUCUCUGUGAUUCCAUUGUAAUUUCUAACCUGUUGUAAUUUCUCUGUGAUUCCAUUCCAUGUAGAACCACAAAAAUCCAUCGAAGAGAUUGCAAAAGCUCUAACUGGUUCACUUAUUUCUUUGAAGUUUUCAAGGGUGAUUAUGAGAGUUUGGGCCUUGAUGCUUCUAGUGGGAAAUUAGUUAGCAUGCAGAAGAUAUGACAUCUAAUUCAGACACUGAUGGGUGAUUGGUCAACUGUUCCAAGGGAUGUUUUGGUGCAAGGCGCCACCUCAAAUGGGGGCAUGAGAAAUAUAUCAUUGAUACAAUACAAAGUCAUCCUGCACAGGUAAAGGAGGCAAUCAUUUCAUUUUUUAUAUUGAUGGAACAUGGCAAAGCUACUCAACAGGAUCUUGACCUGCAGUGUGAAGAACUAAUCGUGGAAGAAUUUGGUGAGAGAUGUAAUUUUGAUGUGGAUGAUGCAGUUUAGAAACUAGAUAAAUUAGGCAUUGUUGCUCGGGUGAGAUCAUCUUUUUCUCCUUCCUGGUAACGUGGGUGGUACUUGAAUUAAUAUGUUAUUCUCUCUUCAAUUCAAAUGAAUUUUUGUGGGUUUAACACUAGUAAGGGGAUACACUGAGCGGAAACCUUACCCUUGCCAAGGGAUCUAGCUUUGCUAGAGAUAUGGUUUGUUCAUUGAACUGGAUAAAUUAUGGCCCUAGUGCGAUGCUUUUAUCUCUGCCUAUGGAACACGUACGGUGUACGUUUUUGUAGUUGCAUACAGAUAAUUUGAUAAUAUUACUCUCUAUAGGAUAGAGUUUUAGUAAAGCAUUCUUUAUGCAAAUCGUAACUGAUACCUGUUGAGCUAAAUAUCGUUAUGUCAUUUUUUUUUUUUUGUGUGUGGCUUUGUUCUCUUGAUGAGAGUCAAUAUUUCAAAACAGGAUUCGAUUGGAAGAUAUUACUGUGUCAGUCUUAAGCAUGCUAAUGAGAUCAUUGGCACAACCACUGAGGAGCUUGUCCUUAAGGCUAAACAGAGUGCUAUUGCUCUUUGAUGUUAUUUUUGGAACCUAAGCUGCUGCUGCUACUCCCAUGUCUGGCUGAGAGAGUGCUUUGAAAUUCUCUACCUAAGAUCUCCACAUGCAAUGCAACAAUACCUUUACUUACAUGGAUGCGUGCCCAGGGUUUGUUUUCUUUUUCACUAGUCCAUUAGGAUAUGUAUAGAGUGAGCUUUUCAUCCGUUUUUCUUUUUAUAAAUUUAUUUAUCAUUUAAUUUUUCUUUUACUUUGUCUGCUUGACUUUCCAAGGUUUCCUGAAUAAUGUAAAUGUUUAUGUUGCCAUUUUAUGGGAAAACCUUUUCAAUAACACAGAUUCAACAGCAUUUGGUUAA